UACACACCGCCCGUCACACCAUGGAAGUCUGUUGCACCAGAAGUCGGUAGUCUAACCGCGAAGGGGGGCGCCGACCACGGUGUGGCCGAUGACGUGGGGUG
rnacentral:rRNA from 1 species